AAGUGUCCCCAGCCGGUCCAUCCUUUCCCACCACAGUGGCCUUCAAGAAACAUCCCCUGUUCUUGCCACCCCAAAGCCACGAGUGCUUUGUAAGGACCGUGGGACAAAGCUGUUCCUCCUCCUCCUGGCCUUGGUGGGCUGUUUGGCUGUGUGGAAAUAUGGGGCACGGUGGGGACACAUUCGGAGUGUCCUUGGCCCAGGCACGAUCUCACUUACUCAUCACAGCAGAGAACACUUGAGGAGCAGGAUGUCCAGUUUCCGGAACAUUGGGCCUUCUGAAUGAGAAACUGGUCAGCCGCUCCCUGUGGCCUCAUCAGGACCUGCCCUUCCCUCAGUAUGGACCUAUCCACUACCCAGAAAGCAUCACAAAAUCAGAAAUAUUUGAGCUGGAAGAAUACUUCAGGGUGGCCUCAUUCUGCUCGGCAUAUGCCAUGGCCACCACGGCCAGGAUCAGAUUGAUGAGGUAGAAAGAGCCCAGGAAGAUGAUGACCACGAAGAAGAUCAUAGCAGGGCAUCGUUGGAGCCCUCCAGGAAGUAGAAGUUCCCUUUGGGAGUCAGAGGCCACAAAGGAGGCAAGUCACCCACAUGGACACAGUGUGAGCACCUGCGCCCAUUGCACACCUGUGGACAGGUCUGCGCGUACCACAUAAACCAAACGGAUGUUCCCUGGCUGCCUCUUCCCCGUCCUUUAAGGACAGCUCCAAGUUCCAAGGUCUCUGGGUAGGGACUCGGCAGGGAGCUCAGCUUGAGCCCUGUCAGCCCAGUGCCCAGUGUGGACGAAAAGUCAUGACGCAGCAGUGGCACAGAGACGGAACGUGUACGUGUGUGCAUGGGGUUAUUGUGUACCUAUGUAGGGCCCCUGAGUGAAGGGUGAGUGGGGGCUGGAAUCCAGGUGCCAGGGUGAGAAGGGUUACCUUUUCCUAAUUUGCAAGAAGGCGCUAUGUAGACUAACAGUGGCUGUGUGAGAAUGUGUGUGUUUCUGGCAUGUGUGCCUGUGAAGAUGCAUAUGUGAAUAGGAUGUGGGUGUGUGGGUGGGUGAUGGUGACCCUGCCAGGAUGUGAGCAUGUGAAAAUGUGGUGUGAUGAAGGAGGACAGGGGGUGCACAGGUUAGGGAGUAGGAACUAUAGACUCUUGCUUUGCAUAGUGAGAGCUUUAGGAUUUUUUUUUUUUUAGACUGAGUUUCACUCUUGUUGCCCAGGCUAGAG
rnacentral:lncRNA from 1 species